GACGAACGCUGGCGGCGUGCUUAACACAUGCAAGUCACGGGGGCCCGCAAGGGCAACCGGCGAACGGGUGCGUAACACGUGAGCAAGCUUCCGAUUAGUGGGGGAUAGCCGGCCCAACGGCCGGGUAAUACCGCAUACGUUCACUGGACGGCAUCGUCUGGUGAGGAAACCUCCGGGGCUAAUCGAGGCGCUCGCGGCCUAUCAGCUAGUUGGCGGGGUAACGGCCCACCAAGGCUAUGACGGGUAGCUGGUCUGAGAGGAUGGCCAGCCACAUUGGGACUGCGACACGGCCCAGACUCCUACGGGAGGCAGCAGUGGGGAAUAUUGCGCAAUGGACGAAAGUCUGACGCAGCGACGCCGCGUGUGGGAUGAAGCCUUUCGGGGUGUAAACCACUGUUGCCCGGGACGAAACGCCCUUUCGAGGGAAUUGACGGUACCGGGUGAGGAAGCACCGGCUAACUCUGUGC
rnacentral:rRNA from 1 species